CAGUAGCCACGGUAAUACAGAGGGUGCGAGCGUUAAUCGGAUUUACUGGGCGUAAAGCGUGCGUAGGCGGCUUCUUAAGUCGGAUGUGAAAUCCCUGGGCUCAACCUGGGAAUUGCAGUGGAUACUGGGUCACUAGAGUGUGGUAGAGGAUAGUGGAAUUUCCGGUGUAGCAGUGAAAUGCGUAGAGAUCGGAAGGAACAUCUGUGGCGAAGGCGACUAUCUGGGCCAACACUGACACUGAGGCACGAAAGCGUGGGGAGCAAACAGGAUUAGAUACCCCCGUAGUCCCUGUCUCUUAUAC
rnacentral:rRNA from 1 species